UAUUGGAAAAACACAAAAACAUAAAACAAACCAAAU
rnacentral:misc_RNA from 1 species